rnacentral:rRNA from 1 species
AGUGAACGCUGGCGGUAGGCCUAACACAUGCAAGUCGAACGGCAGCACAGUAAGAGCUUGCUCUUACGGGUGGCGAGUGGCGGACGGGUGAGGAAUACAUCGGAAUCUACUUUUUCGUGGGGGAUAACGUAGGGAAACUUACGCUAAUACCGCAUACGACCUACGGGUGAAAGCAGGGGAUCUUCGGACCUUGCGCGAUUGAAUGAGCCGAUGUCGGAUUAGCUAGUUGGCGGGGUAAAGGCCCACCAAGGCGACGAUCCGUAGCUGGUCUGAGAGGAUGAUCAGCCACAAUGGAACUGAGACACGGUCCAGACUCCUACGGGAGGCAGCAGUGGGGAAUAUUGGACAAUGGGCGCAAGCCUGAUCCAGCCCUACCGCGUGGGUGAAGAAGGCCUUCGGGUUGUAAAGCCCUUUUGUUGGGAAAGAAAAGCAGCAGGUUAAUACCCCGCUGUUCUGACGGUACCCAAAGAAUAAGCACCGGCUAACUUCGUG